AUUUAUUUGUUGAUCUGAAGCAACUAGCUACCAUUACAGCUCGCUUUGUCGGUCCACAAGCAAGGUCUCUCUCGCGGGCCAAAAGCGAAUAAGAAAACCAGAAAUAGGGCUUAUGAUAUCCUCGUCCAAAUUGGUCAUGCUUGUGGAGAUGAAGAGAGGGGUGGGAAAACGGAGACCUUGCUUCAAUUCUUCAAUUUGGUAGCGGGAGGUCUUGCUGGUGAGACUCCACAUAUGAUUAGUGCUGCUGUAUAAGGCUUGGCUCGCUUGGCUUAUGAAUUUUCUGAUCUUCUUUCAAGUGCAUACAGUGUGCUGCCCUCCUUGAUUCUUCUUCUUCAGAGGAAGAACAGAGAGAUCA